GAUCAUGGCUCAGGAUGAACGCUGGCGGCAUGCCUAAUACAUGCAAGUCGAACGAGAGGAAGGAAAGCUUGCUUUUCUGAAUCUAGUGGCGAACGGGUGAGUAACACGUAGGUAACCUGCCCAUGUGCCCGGGAUAACUUCUGGAAACGGAUGCUAAAACCGGNUAGGUAGCAGACAAGCAUUUGACUGCUAUUAAAGUGGCCUUUGGCCAUGAACAUGGAUGGACCUGCGGUG
rnacentral:rRNA from 1 species